AAGGUUAAGUUAACAUGUAAUAUGAAGUUUCACUCCCAGUGAACUGACCCCUACCUCAGUUUAAAAAUAGUAUACUAAGUCAUAUUGUUUUCGGCGUCUGAGACUCCAAAUGCCUGAAAAGUUGUAGAUUAGUGUAAUUUCUACUAAAUUAGUCUAUUGAUCCAGUUUUGUCUCAUGUUUGUGGAUAAACCUGGUAAUUACGUCCUGGGUGAUCAUUAUAUCUCGGUGAAUAAUGUCGAUUCUGUCAUACCGGUAAGUUGAUACAUAGAGUAAUGUUCUAUCAGUGCUGAAUGAUUUCAAUGUUGGGCUUGCUGGCACAACCUUACAGUUGUAUUCCAUAUUUUAACAUUGGUUUGAUUAUCAUUAUUUAUUAGACACAAUAAAUGAUUGCUUGUAAGAUCUAGUUCGGAAAUCCUUCCGAUGAACCAAUAAAGUUGUCGCAUUUUCUUAUUUUCUUCUACAAAUAUAGUG